GACGAACGCUGGCGGCGUGCUUAACACAUGCAAGUCGAACGGAAAGGCCCUGCUUUUGUGGGGUGCUCGAGUGGCGAACGGGUGAGUAACACGUGAGUAACCUGCCCUUGACUUUGGGAUAACUUCAGGAAACUGGGGCUAAUACCGGAUAGGAGCUCCUGCUGCAUGGUGGGGGUUGGAAAGUUUCGGCGGUUGGGGAUGGACUCGCGGCUUAUCAGCCUGUUGGUGGGGUAGUGGCUUACCAAGGCUUUGGCGGGUAGCCGGCCUGGGAGGGUGACCGGCCACAUUGGGACUGGGGUACGGCCCGGACUCCUACGGGAGGCAGCAGUGGGGAAUAUUGCACAAUGGGCGGAAGCCUGAUGCAGCAACGCCGCGUGCGGGAUGACGGCCUUCGGGUUGUAAACCGCUUUCGCCUGUGGCGAAGCGUGAGUGACGGUAAUGGGUAAAGAAGCACCGGCUAACUACGUG
rnacentral:rRNA from 1 species